GAUGAAGAACGUAGCGAAAUGCGAUAAGUAAUGUGAAUUGCAGAAUUCAGUGAAUCAUCGAAUCUUUGAACGCACAUUGCGCCCGUCAGUAUUCUGGCGGGCAUGCCUGUUCGAGCGUCAUUACGCCCCUCAAGUCCCCUGUGGACUUGGUGUUGGGGAUCGGCGAGGCUGGUUUUCCAGCACAGCCGUCCCUUAAAUUAAUUGGCGGUCUCGCCGUGGCCCUCCUCUGCGCAGUAGUAAAACACUCGCAACAGGAGCCCGGCGCGGUCCACUGCCGUAAAACCCCCCGACUUUUUAUAGUUGACCUCGAAUCAGGUAGGACUACCCGCUGAACUUAAGCAUAUCAAUAAGCGGAGGA
rnacentral:misc_RNA from 1 species